AGCGAACGCUGGCGGCAGGCCUAACACAUGCAAGUCGAACGAACUCUUCGGAGUUAGUGGCGGACGGGUGAGUAACACGUGGGAACGUGCCUUUAGGUUCGGAAUAACUCAGGGAAACUUGUGCUAAUACCGAAUGUGCCCUUCGGGGGAAAGAUUUAUCGCCUUUAGAGCGGCCCGCGUCUGAUUAGCUAGUUGGUGAGGUAAAGGCUCACCAAGGCGACGAUCAGUAGCUGGUCUGAGAGGAUGAUCAGCCACAUUGGGACUGAGACACGGCCCAAACUCCUACGGGAGGCAGCAGUGGGGAAUCUUGCGCAAUGGGCGAAAGCCUGACGCAGCCAUGCCGCGUGAAUGAUGAAGGUCUUAGGAUUGUAAAAUUCUUUCACCGGGGACGAUAAUGACGGUACCCGGAGAAGAAGCCCCGGCUAACUUCGUGCCAGCAGCCGCGGUAA
rnacentral:rRNA from 1 species